rnacentral:rRNA from 1 species
AGAGUUUGAUCAUGGCUCAGGAUGAACGCUGGCGGUCUGCUUAACACAUGCAAGUCGAACGGAGUAGAAAUACUUAGUGGCGGACGGGUGAGUAACGCGUGAGAAUCUGCCUUCAGGACGGAGACAACAGUUGGAAACGACUGCUAAGCCCCGAUGAACCGAAAGGGAAAAUAUUUAUAGCCUGAAGAUGAGCUCGCGUCUGAUUAGCUAGUUGGUAGGGUAAAGGCCUACCAAGGCUCCGAUCAGUAACUGGUCUGAGAGGAUGACCAGUCACACUGGGACUGAGACACGGCCCAGACUCCUACGGGAGGCAGCAGUGGGGAAUUUUCCGCAAUGGGCGCAAGCCUGACGGAGCAAUACCGCGUGAGGGAGGAAGGCUCUUGGGUCGUAAACCUCUUUUCUCAGGGAAGAACACAAUGACGGUACCUGAGGAAUCAGCAUCGGCUAACUCCGUGCCAGCAGCCGCGGUAAUACGGAGGAUGCAAGCGUUAUCCGGAAUGAUUGGGCGUAAAGCGUCCGCAGGUGGCAGUGUAAGUCUGCUGUCAAAGGUCAGGGCUCAACCCUGAAUAGGCAGUGGAAACUACACAGCUAGAGUGCGGUGGGGGCAGAGGGAAUUCCCAGUGUAGCGGUGAAAUGCGUAGAGAUUGGGAAGAACACCGGUGGCGAAAGCGCUCUGCUAGGCCGCAACUGACACUCAUGGACGAAAGCUAGGGGAGCGAAUGGGAUUAGAUACCCCUGUAGUCC